GUCUGCCUUUUGCUCUGAUAACAUAGUAGCAGUUGGAAGAGAGAGGCUGAUAGGGAACUGGGAGAAACCAAACCUUAGUAGUGCUUGUUUCAUGGUACUCAGAUGUAUAAAUAACGCUGAGAAUCUUGUCCUGAGGAAAUGGGUGUGUGGAGAUUUCCGGUACAUCGAAAGAGGCCUUGUCACAUACAUCUUGCAAAGUAUGUCUCUCCCCUGAUGGCUUGCGAAGGUUUUGGUAGCUUGAUUCCUUAUGAACUAAGAUCCCUCUGUUUUCGGUUAUUUUGUCUUGGUUUAUGGUUAAUAACUGGAAUAUUCCUUAUGAGUUAAGAAAAGGAAAGUGGAGUAUUACACUUCCAAUAGUUGAUUUGUACAAAGAGAAAGUCAGUUCGAGCAUAAAUUAUUGAAUAAAAAAGAAAGAUAUAAAGAAAACCAAGAUAAAGAAACUGCUUGCUCCACUUUCUUUUUUUACUCUUUUGCUUUGCUAUUUCACCUUUAUGUCAAUAACAUUUUCAGCAAAGUUAGAGAAAUUCACAAAUAUGGGUAGUGAUCUUUCAUGGCUCUGAUGAUAUACAUCUGUUACUUUACCUUUUUUUCUGCAUUUGUGUUUUAAUCGGAAGGCUGUGCUAAAGCCACCACCCUAAUACGCAAAACCAAAUAACUAUUAAAGUAAGGGGUUGGCAUCAUAAUUUUGGUUAUAAAGUAAUCCAUCGAAGAAAAAUUAAAAAAAGAAAAGCAAAAAGGAUAAGCCAUUUUCAUAACAUCUUGUUUGAAAGACAUUGAGAUUUUAUUUUUGUCAAUGCGCAACUAGUACAAUGGGUUCCCACCAGAAAACUAGUUCACAUAGCAGGUCCAUGCAGUAAGAAGAUCAAAAACAUUGGGAACAAGAAAAAAAGAAAAACCUUCGGACGGGCUUAUUUUAAAUUGUGUACAAUUUGUUUUUUCCUUCUUUCCCAAAUUAACAUUAAAAGAAUCUCCCAAAAUUUAGUUAAGAGGCAUCAUCCAUCUUAACUAUUUGGAAUUCCUCAACUUUCUGCAAAAACAGCUUCUGCAUCUACUUCAAGAAAUGUUUUUAUAAUUCCCAUCAUCUCUCCACCAGGGAAA